rnacentral:ncRNA from 1 species
GUGUGCGGCUAGGGGCGCCCCGGUAUGGGCUGAGAGUGACCCUUGAACCUGAUCCAGAUCAUCCUGGCGUAGGAAAGUGAGCACCGGCCCCG